UACGUAGGGUGCAAGCGUUAAUCGGAAUUGCUGGGCGUAAAGCGUGCGCAGGCGGUUAUAUAAGACAGUUGUGAAAUCCCCGGGCUCAACCUGGGAACUGCAUCUGUGACUGUAUAGCUAGAGUACGGUAGAGGGGGAUGGAAUUCCGCGUGUAGCAGUGAAAUGCGUAGAUAUGCGGAGGAACACCGAUGGCGAAGGCAAUCCCCUGGACCUGUACUGACGCUGAGGCGCGAAAGCGUGGGGAGCAAACAGG
rnacentral:rRNA from 1 species